UGAGGAAUAUUGGUCAAUGGGCGCAAGCCUGAACCAGCCAUCCCGCGUGAAGGAAGAAGGCGCUAUGCGUUGUAAACUUCUUUUCCAGGGGGAGAAUUUUUCCGUCGUGACGGGAAUUGACGGUACUCUGGGAAUAAGCAUCGGCUAACUCCGUGCCAGCAGCCGCGGUAAUACGGAGGAUGCGAGCGUUAUCCGGAUUUAUUGGGUUUAAAGGGUGCGUAGGCGGAUAGAUAAGUCAGUGGUGAAAUUCUGCAGCUUAACUGUAGACUUGACGUUGAUACUGUAAGUAUUGAGUAUGGUCAAGGCAGGCGGAAUGUGUAAUGUAGCGGUGAAAUGCUUAGAUAUUACACAGAACACCGAGUGAGAAGGCAGCUUGCUGGGCCAUUACUGACGCUGAUGCACGAAAGCGUGGGGAU
rnacentral:rRNA from 1 species